rnacentral:rRNA from 1 species
UACGAAGGGGGCUAGCGUUGCUCGGAAUUACUGGGCGUAAAGCGCACGUAGGCGGCUUUCUAAGUCGGAGGUGAAAUCCUGGAGCUCAACUCCAGAACUGCCUUCGAUACUGGGAAGCUCGAGUCCGGGAGAGGUGAGUGGAACUGCGAGUGUAGAGGUGAAAUUCGUAGAUAUUCGCAAGAACACCAGUGGCGAAGGCGGCUCACUGGCCCGGUACUGACGCUGAGGUGCGAAAGCGUGGGGAGCAAACAGG